rnacentral:rRNA from 1 species
CACGCAGUAAACGAUGAUUACUAGCUGUUUGCGAUAUACAGUAAGCGGCUGAGCGAAAGCGUUAAGUAAUCCACCUGGGGAGUACGUUCGCAAGAAUGAAACUCAAAGGAAUUGACGGGGGCCCGCACAAGCGGAGGAACAUGUGGUUUAAUUCGAUGAUACGCGAGGAACCUUACCCGGGCUUGAAAUGCAUCUGACAGGAGCAGAGACGCUCUCUCCCUUCGGGGCAGAUGUGUAGGUGC